rnacentral:misc_RNA from 1 species
GUAUUAUUUGAUGGACUGCAUAAUUCAGGUUUUUCCAGAUGAGUACCACUUGCUGACUCUUGAUGCAUUAUUAGGGGCUUGCCCUCAGCUUCAGGCUAAUUAAUUGCUUAUAAAUACUACCAGGUUUUCCCAUGAGCUGUUUAUGGCUGCCAAUUUCAGCCACCCUCCCAUGUUGUAGCACAGCAAUGCUAUCUGCAUCACGAAUGGUGGACAAUCUGUGGGCUACCAUAACUGUUGUUCGUCCUUCCAUAAGCUUAUCCAAAGCCUCUUGAACCAGCUUCUCUGAUGCAGUAUCCAAUGCGCUAGUAGCUUCAUCCAAUAGAAGAAUGGAAGGGUCCUUCAGUAUUGCUCUAGCAAUAGCCACUCUUUGUUUCUGCCCCCCAGAUAAUUGCAGUCCCCUAUCACCC